ncrna:Canis lupus familiaris (dog) microRNA cfa-mir-589 precursor
GGCUCUGAGAACCAUGUCUGAUCAGAGCUGGGUACUGCCUGUUCAGAACAGACACCGGUCUCUAAGACGCAG